rnacentral:rRNA from 1 species
UACGUAGGGGGCGAGCGUUGUCCGGAAUUACUGGGCGUAAAGGGCGCGUAGGCGGCCUAUUAAGUUAGAUGUGAAAUCCCCGGGCUCAACCUGGGUGUUGCAUUUAAAACUGAUAGGCUUGAGUGCAGGAGAGGAAAGUGGAAUUCCUAGUGUAGCGGUGAAAUGCGUAGAUAUUAGGAGGAACACCAGUGGCGAAGGCGACUUUCUGGACUGUAACUGACGCUGAGGCGCGAGAGCGUGGGGAGCAAAC